rnacentral:rRNA from 1 species
AACGAACGCUGGCGGCAUGCCUAACACAUGCAAGUCGAACGAGACCUUCGGGUCUAGUGGCGCACGGGUGCGUAACGCGUGGGAACCUGCCCUUAGGUUCGGAAUAACUCCCCGAAAGGGGUGCUAAUACCGGAUAAUGUCUUCGGACCAAAGAUUUAUCGCCUUUGGAUGGGCCCGCGUUGGAUUAGCUAGUUGGUAGGGUAAAAGCCUACCAAGGCGACGAUCCAUAGCUGGUCUGAGAGGAUGAUCAGCCACACUGGGACUGAGACACGGCCCAGACUCCUACGGGAGGCAGGAGUGGGGAAUAUUGGACAAUGGGCGAAAGCCUGAUCCAGCAAUGCCGCGUGAAUGAUGAAGGCCUUAGGGUUGUAAAGCUCUUUUACCCGGGAUGAUAAUGACAGUACCGGGAGAAUAAGCUCCGGCUAACUCCGUG